rnacentral:lncRNA from 1 species
GAACCUUUGGAAGACAUUAAACAUCCCAAUUAUAGGAAGCCCUAGUCCUAAUAUUGUCCUUCUGGCAUGUCCUUCACAAUGUUGUAGGGUCUACUGCUCAAUGAUCCCUGGAAGAAACCCAACUGCUACAAAGUAGAUGGCUAAAGCCUCUUGCCAACAGCUUCAUCAGUGACCCUGGCAGUUGGCCUCCAUUUCCUUCAGCUGCUCACAUCCCUGGCCUACAGGCUUGACUACCAAGCCAUGCAGUUAAGAAAUCCCUGGCCCCUUCUCUUUCAUGGUUCUGACAAUCAGAUGGAGGUCCUUCACUUCGUGGCAAGUGCUCAUCCCCACUGAAUCACUUUGCCAGCCCCUGCUUUGCUUAUAUAUUCCAUCAUCUAACUAUAAGUUAUUUUAUUGUUUCAGUUUGUUUUAGACGAAUAAACAUUUUAAACACAUUUUCA